UGGAUUGAAAUCAGCAAUUUUUCUCAUUUUAACUUAGACAAAAUUUCCAGCUUUCUAGGUUUUUCUCUCUUGUUCUCUCUUGGCUAUGAAAAAACCCUAUAAUUCCACAAGGGUUCUUGGUAUUUACCUUCCUUCCAAUCUAAAGGGAUUAAGCUAUUGAUGAAAUACACAUUAAGACACUAAAAUACCAAGGAAAUAAAGAUAAGUAAUCUAAAAGUGCGGGAAGUCGAGUUGGGCUGGUAUUGGAGUUUUACAAACAGGUGGCAGCUCAGGGGCAUAAUACUAGCACGGGCAGAUCCUGAUUUAUUAUUUACCACUGAUCAGCUGGUCAUUUGUAUCAUAUGGAUUACAAAGAUAAUGAAGUAAGAAGGUAAAAGGAAGAAAGACAUGUAAUGUACCCUGUUCCACAAGCAAUGUAAAGGCACAGGUUCUUCAGCAAACAUGCCUCUUCAAUAGGAGCCCAGGAUAUCAAUCUGCUAUUGGUGAGCUCCAGUUUGCUUCGGGGCUUUCCGAGUCGGUUCCAUAUAUUUUUGGUAUUGUAUAAACGUUAAUAGUAUGGAGGGGAUUUGUCCCGACCUUAGCUAAAUUUUGUGUAUCGUCUAGAGGCAUUGUAGACCAAUGUAAAGUUAAGCAUGGUAGUGUGUUAUCUUGUACAUGUUAUGGCCCUAACGGCCAAGUCUAUUAUGUAUAUAGUUUUAGGGCUUGUCGUUUAUAUUUUUUUUUCAUU